GACGUAGGGGGCCAGCGUUGGCUCGGAAUUACUGGGUGUAAAGGGUUCGUAGGCGGUGUGGCAAGUUCGGGAGUGAAAUCUCUGAGCUUAACUCAGGGCCUGCUUCCGAAACUGCUGUGCUAGAGUGUGGGAGAGGCGCGUGGAAUUGCAGGUGUAGCGGUGAAAUGCGUAGAUAUCUGCAGGAACACCCGUGGCGAAAGCGGCGCGCUGGACCACUACUGACGCUGAGGAACGAAAGCUAGGGGAGCAAACAGG
rnacentral:rRNA from 1 species